CUAAAUGCCAUGGUUCUUUGAUAAACAUGUCAGGCCUUUUUCCAAACAAUUUUUCCAUUCGGAGCUGAUGAAAACAGGCUGUCAGCACUCCUGGUAGAAACACCCUGCUCAUGGCAACAGUCGCUGUCUGGCCCAGUGGUCUUCCUGGAGAAAGUCCAAGUGGGAAGGCAGUCUGGAGGCUCAAUUCCCAGUGCUGAUAGGGGGUGGAGGAAGGUGACCACUGUUUCAAGAUGAUGAUGUUUAUUCCCUCUGGGGAUUUACCUCUGAAAUACGGUAUUUGAAAAAUACCAUAUUGGAGAAAUAUGAAUUUCAAAGGUGGACUAUUUGGUGGAUAAAGAAUUGGUCAGAUGGUGUAGUGGAAACAGCUUGAACCAUUGAUUGAGCACCUGGUGGGAAGGCAGGGCCAACCCAGGGGAGCUCAGGUGCAUGCAGUGCAUUGAGUGACUGGAAGGGGUAGAUCCUGGCUCUACCCCUUCCAGACCUCAUUUAAAGACUGGCAGUGGAGGUGAGGGUAUAUCUGGUUGGAGAUCUCUGUGUAACUGUGGCCUUCUGAAGGAGCAGUACGAGAGCACUGUGCUGUAGCCAUGGACCACCUGCUGACCGGACAUCUCAGAUGCUCUCCAGCAGUUCACUUUUACAGCCUGUACUACAAAAGCCAACAUCAGCUUCGCUUAGUAAGUUUGCAGAGGAUAUAACUUCUCAUCUUCCACACAACUAGACUUGACGUGAAGAGCAGCAAAAAGGGAGAGUUCAGCAGUGUUCAGGACCGUGUUGCUUCGUGACAUUCCCAUACAAUCCAAGAGCCUGACAGAA